rnacentral:lncRNA from 1 species
GGCAGCCUCGAGAUGGGGAAGAUGGCGGCUGCUGUGGCUUCAUUAGCCACGCUGGCUGCAGAGCCCAGAGAGGAUGCUUUCCGGAAGCUUUUCCGCUUCUACCGGCAGAGCCGGCCGGGGACAGCGGACCUGGGAGCCGUCAUCGACUUCUCAGAGGCGCACUUGGCUCGGAGCCCGAAGCCCGGCGUGCCCCAGGUAGGAAAGGAGGAGUAGUGUGUGCCAGCCUAGCGGCCGACUGGGCCACCCGAGACUGGGCCGCCUCCGGGCCGGCUUUGGAGGGAAGCCCCUGCUGGGCCUGUCCAGUGAGCUGUAAUGUCGAGCGAUGAGCGACCAGCUGCCUCGCUGUCCCAACGCUCUGGCCACGGCUUGUGCCUUGCCGCCAUUUCCCCCAACCCACGCGGGCCACGGCUUGUGCCCUGCCGCCAUUUCCCCCAACCCACGCGACCUUGCU